rnacentral:tRNA from 1 species
GGAGGAUGUAGCUUAGUGGUAGAGCAUCUGCUCUGCAUGCAGACGGUCCCAAGUUCAAUCCCUGGCAUCUCCA